AGUGAACGCUGGCGGUAGGCCUAACACAUGCAAGUCGAACGGCAGCACAGUAAGAGCUUGCUCUUACGGGUGGCGAGUGGCGGACGGGUGAGGAAUACAUCGGAAUCUACUUUUUCGUGGGGGAUAACGUAGGGAAACUUACGCUAAUACCGCAUACGACCUACGGGUGAAAGCAGGGGAUCUUCGGACCUUGCGCGAUUGAAUGAGCCGAUGUCGGAUUAGCUAGUUGGCGGGGUAAAGGCCCACCAAGGUGACGAUCCGUAGCUGGUCUGAGAGGAUGACCAGCCACACUGGAACUGAGGCACGGUCCAGACUCCUACGGGAGGCAGCAGUGGGGAAUAUUGGACAAUGGGCGCAAGCCUUAUCCAGCCAUACCGCGUGGGUGAAGAAGGCCUUCGGGUUGUAAAGCCCUUUUGUUGGGAAAGAAAAGCAGCAGGUUAAUACCCCGCUGUUCUGACGGUACCCAAAGAAUAAGCACCGGCUAACUUCGUG
rnacentral:rRNA from 1 species